UUAUGGAGUUGAAAAAGUUGGGCACAACUGAGCUGCUGGGCACACAGUAUUAAACAGUGCACAGUAACCUAUUUUCAAACACAUAGCAGAUGCUCAGUAAUUGUUGCUGUAGUGACUAUAUACAUAUGUUGUCCUAUUAGAGACUCAUGUUACAGCCUUUAUCAGCCUUCUAUAAACUGUGAAAUGCCAGCCAAACGUGAUCUUUCAAGGCCACGAUGGUGGUCAUUAGUGGAACUCAGAGUAGUUGUGCCAAGAUAAGGGAGUUGGUAUGAGGGGUUUGGGUGUGUUCUGCCUGCUUGCUUCCAUUCAGUGACACUAAAAACGGGUCUGGGGGCUGCAUCAGCACAAAGAAGAAACUGGAUAAAGAUGCCAGAUCAUGGGUCCCUCUCCAGACCUGCAGUCAGUUUCCUCCACAGGUCCUGGAAUGCUUUGUCUGCAUGUUUAAAUUUGAGAGGAAAGAUUUACAUAAGUGCUUAUCACUCUAGGUUUACAGUGAAGAUGAUGUGGUGAGAUUUAAUAACUAUAACCUGUGUCCCCUCUCCCAGAUCCUAUUGGCCUGGGCGGGAGGCUGUUUUUCUGAAAUGAAGUAGAGUUGACCGUCGGUAUUGUAUUUGAUUCAGGUGUGCAGUGUAGUUUCAGUUGAACAUAAUUUACACAAAUUACAAGUAAAUUUGUUUUAAUUAGCUGCUCUGGGCAGUUCCAGGGUGAAACCAGGGUUACUGAAGAGGGCUGUCAGAUAUUUUUGUGGUGAAUUGAGUUCAGUCUUUAGUUGAAGAAAAGGUAAUAGUCUGUGUGGGCUUCCCAGGUGACUCAGUAGUAGAGAAUCCGCCUUUCAGUGCAGGAUGCCUGGUUGAUGGCUGGGUGGGGAAGAUCCUCUGGAGAAGGAAAUGGCAACCCACUCCAGUAUUCUUGCCUGGAGAAUCCCAUGGACAGAGGAGCCUGGCGGGCUACAGUCCAUUGCAUGGGGUUCAGCAAGAGUCCGGCACGACUGAGCUGCUGGAAAACGACAGUAGUCUGUGUGUGCGGGGCGGGUUCAUGCAGCCCAAGCUCCCCUCUGAUGCCGCAGGGUGAGUGGUCGAGUAUGUGUAAACAGGGCAGGAGAAAAUCGUGUUCUGGUCUCCACGGAGGUACUUGUGUUGUCCUGACUCAGUCAGGUGGCCUUUCCUGCAUUUCAAGGUCUUUCUGCCUCUGAGUGUGGGGGAAACAUGUGAACGGGCUGUGCUGACGCCAUUAGAAAUACGCAGGUGUGAUUUCUCUACGUAGUAUCGCUGGAGAAAGAAACUUCGGAAUGGAGGAGGAAGAGGAAGAAACACCAGGGUCUCCCGUCUUGAUGUCUGGAAGCUGAACCUGAUCACCUUUUCUGAGCAAAGGAGAUAGCAGUCAUCACCCAGCACCAUUCCUAUAUACAAACAACAGAAGAAGAGGAGGAGAAAUUAAGGAAAGCAUCUAAUUUACCACUGCAACAAAAA